rnacentral:rRNA from 1 species
GACGAACGCUGGCGGCGUGCUUAACACAUGCAAGUCGAACGGAAAGGCCCUGCUUUUGUGGGGUGCUCGAGUGGCGAACGGGUGAGUAACACGUGAGUAACCUGCCCUUGACUUUGGGAUAACUUCAGGAAACUGGGGCUAAUACCGGAUAGGAGCUCCUGCUGCAUGGUGGGGGUUGGAAAGUUUCGGCGGUUGGGGAUGGACUCGCGGCUUAUCAGCUUGUUGGUGGGGUAGUGGCUUACCAAGGCUUUGACGGGUAGCCGGCCUGAGAGGGUGACCGGCCACAUUGGGACUGAGAUACGGCCCAGACUCCUACGGGAGGCAGCAGUGGGGAAUAAUGCACAAUGGGCGGAAGCCUGAUGCAGCAACGCCGCGUGCGGGAUGACGGCCUUCGGGUUGGAAACCGCUUUCGCCUGUGACGAAGCGUGAGUGACGGUAAUGGGUAAAGGAGCACCGGCUAACUACGUG